rnacentral:rRNA from 1 species
AACGAACGCUGGCGGCAUGCCUAACACAUGCAAGUCGAACGAGACCUCCGGGUCUAGUGGCGCACGGGUGCGUAACGCGUGGGAACCUGCCCUUAGGUUCGGAAUAACUCCCCGAAGGGGGUGCUAAUACCGGAUAAUGUCUUCGGACCAAAGAUUUAUCGCCCUUGGGUGGGCCCGCGUUGGAUUAGCUUGUUGGUAGGGUAAAAGCCUACCAAGGCGACGAUCCAUAGCUGGGUUGAGAGGAUGGUACGCCACACUGGGACUGGGACACGGUCCAGAAUCCUACGGGAGGGAGGAGAGGGGAAUAUUGGACAAUGGGCGAAAGCCUGAUCCAGCAAUGCCGCGUGAGUGAUGAAGGCCUUAGGGUUGUAAAGCUCUUUUACCCGGGAUGAUAAUGACAGUACCGGGAGAAUAAGCACCGGCUAACUCCGUG